rnacentral:piRNA from 1 species
UGGCUGCCUUUUGGAUGAAAUGAUGCCAGC